GGAGCGGAAAAGCGUGGGGGAGCGAACAGGGAUUAGAUAACCCUGGUAGUCCACGCCCGUAAAACGAUGAGUGCUAAGUGUUAGGGGGUUUCCGCCCCUUAGUGCUGCAGCUAACGCAUUAAGCACUCCCGCCUGGGGAGUACGGUCGCAAGACUGAAACUCAAAGGAAUUGACGGGGGCCCGCACAAGCGGUGGAGCAUGUGGUUUAAUUUGAAGCAACGCGAAGAACCUUACCAGGUCUUGACAUCCUCUGACAAUCCUAGAGAUAGGACGUCCCCUUCGGGGGCAGAGUGACAGGUGGUGCAUGGUUGUCGUCAGCUCGUGUCGUGAGAUGUUGGGUUAAGUCCCGCAACGAGCGCAACCCUUGAUUUUAGUUGCCAGCAUUCAGUUGGGCACUUUAAGGUGACUGCCGGUGACAAACCGGAGGAAGGUGGGGAUGACGUCAAAUCAUCAUGCCCCUUAUGACCUGGGCUACACACGUGCUACAAUGGACAGAACAAAGGGCAGCGAAACCGCGAGGUUAAGCCAAUCCCACAAAUCUGUUCUCAGUUCGGAUCGCAGUCUGCAACUCGACUGCGUGAAGCUGGAAUCGCUAGUAAUCGCGGAUCAGCAUGCCGCGGUGAAUACGUUCCCGGGCCUUGUACACACCGCCCGUCACACCACGAGAGUUUGUAACACCCGAAGUCGGUGAGGUAACCUUUAGGAGCCAGCCGCUCUAAGUUAUCUUGUUCU
rnacentral:rRNA from 1 species